AUAAAAUUAGUAUUUGGGAGAGACGGAAGUGGAAGGAAAAAUAAGCCCCCCCUCAUCUCCUUAGUGUUCAGCCAUUACAAUCCCAUAAUUGUAGCCAAUAAUAACUACCAUUUAUCUAGAUGUGGUCAUGAGCCAGCUGUUGUGGUGAGCACUCUACAUGUAUCAUCUUCCAGUAAAUUUUGAGGGAUGUGGCUUUAUUUUACAAAAGAAGAAACUGAGGCACAGUGAGGUUAGACAUCUCGUUGGAGGGCAUUCGGCUCUUCCUAAGUGUCAAAGUUGGGACCUGGCCCCAUGUCUGUCUGACUGUAAUAAGUCUUAGGCAUAUUGCCUUAAUCUGAUAACCACUGUCCCUCACUGCCUCCACUCCAACCCCAACACUCUUCAUUGUGGUUGAUGUGGGGCCAGAGCAAGACAAGGAGUGUGAGCUUCUUUGUACACACUAGGUGCUUAAUCCACGGGAGUGCUCACCCCUUGCCUUUUAGAACAUUCAUCCUCUGUUGCCUGGUCCUCGAGAGGAUGCCCCUGUAUCACUUUGUUGAUUGAUUCCCUUUGAUGUUGCAGGAGCCCCCUCGCUUUUGUGCAUAGUCCAAGGAGAAACCAGAGGUUUUGCCUCAAACUGGCUCUGUUGAAAGUCACAUCCCAGGAGGAUGCUCCCGCUAGCAGAGAUAGUGGGACACCAAGGUAUGCCCUUUCUCCAGCUUCUCAUCACUGUAACAUCUCUGGGCCCUUAACCUCCUUCUCCUGAAGGAAACCAAGGCCCUGGAUAGUUGCCGGACCUGCGCAUGGAUGCCAUGGAAACAAGAGAACAAGAACCAGAUUCCAGGUUUCUGGAUUCUGGAUUCCUAGCCACUCCCUCACACAACACUGUCACUUGGGGAAGAGAGAUGGGCAUCCUGCCACCGGCUACCUGGUCGAGGGCCCAGCUAAGGGUCAAAACUGUCUCUUUGCCAUCCAGGGAUACUCAUAAGCUACCAAGUGUUGUUCUAAGCUGCUUCCUUGGGAAAAGCAGCUAUAGGUUCAACCCAAGGAAUUAGGACAGAGCAGAAUCAAACCAGGACCAGCCACCUGUAGGAGACUGAGUGUAACGACAUACCCAGUGGAGUGCUGGGGGGCGAUGGGCAGAAGAACCCUGGUGAAGGAGGAAGAGAUGCUACCCAGGUACGUGGUCAGAAAUGGUUCUGUGGCAACUCUCCUGGCUGGAGGUUGGGGCAGAGGAGGAGGCCAAGUGGAGAAGGGGAUGUAACCUAGGAGAGGCCAACUCACCCCCUUUGCUGUUCAGUGGCUAGGAGAAGGCUAGGGCAGGCCCAGCAGAGGUGGAGAGCUCCAGGGGUGGAGGUCGGGAUGCCAAACCUGGUAGGCUGUGUCACCGUGGUCAAGUCCUCUACCCUAUGUUCCUCAAUUUCCCCAGCAGCCCCCGAUUGUGGCCUCCCUGCCCACUUCCCAGAAUUGGAGGCUCAAGGGACAUUGGGAAUGUGAGGGCGCUCAGAACAGUAAGUAUCACUGGUAUUUCCUUUGUGUCCGAGGCAAGUCACUGGGCCCUGAGCACUGUUUCUCUUUGAAUAUCUGUCACCAUUCAUAGAAGGAUCAACUAUUUGCCAGGCCCACACUCAGUGAUUCAUUUGUCCCCCCGAGGAUACCACGAGAGUACUUCCUUUCCAGGACAAUCACUGCCAAGUGCCAAAAACCCUGUUGUGCAUGGGCUGCCCAGAGUGCAGGGAAGGAGCAUGUGACCUGGGCACAAGGCAGGCUCUCAGUCUUU
rnacentral:lncRNA from 1 species